GGCGCCACAGGCGGUGACCCCGCAGGCAACCCCUAUACCGGCGCCACAGGCGGUGACCCCACAGGCAACCCCUAUAACGGCACCACAGGUGGUGACCCCGGAAACCCCUAUACCGACCGCGACUAAAAGGAAGAGGGAUGAGGAGUCACUAAGUAUACAUAUUUUCACUCUUCAAAUUUCAUAAGUGUAAAUCAUAUUUCGAUAUGUCGGCAUCAUAUAAAUGUGUUUUCCAGUUUGAAGAGCGACAGGCGAAGAAGGUGAAUGCAGAGUUCCUCGAAAAAAUUGACAUACUGACAUCCGACUUCCACAGAGUGAAGAUCGAUGAGGAGAUGAUCAAAACACUCAUCGCCUCAAUUUAGUUGUAAAGUACAUUCAUUUCCUCAUAAAUAAAGGCGGAACAAGGAACAAAUAUUAUCUAUACAGAAGUGAUAUAUGAUCAACGAGCAAUUGUACAUAUGAAAACAUCUUUAUUGAUUUUAAUGAAUAUAUAUGACAUGUUCUGUAUUAAAUAAACUUUAGAAUUUGA